GCAAACUUGGUCAUUUAGAGGAAGUAAAAGUCGUAACAAGGUUUCCGUAGGUGAACCUGCGGAAGGAUCAUUAUUGAAUAAACUUGGUGGGUUGUUGCUGGCUCUUCGGAGCAUGUGCACGCCUGCUAACUUUAUCUAUCCACCUGUGCACCCUUUGUAGUCUUGGUAGAUGAUAGUGGGCAAUAACCUCGAUAAGGGCCCUUUGGUCUUUUCGGAUGUAAGGAAUGCCUUUGUGGCUUUCCCUGAAUGCCUUAUUAUCACUUCUGGGACUAUGUUUUUCCAUAUACCAUAUUGCAUAUAAUAGAAUGUAUCUAGUGGCCUCUGUGCCUAUAAAAACAGUACAACUUUCAGCAACGGAUCUCUUGGCUCUCGCAUCGAUGAAGAACGCAGC
rnacentral:misc_RNA from 1 species